rnacentral:rRNA from 1 species
GAUGAACGCUAGCUACAGGAUUAACACAUGCAAGUCGAGGGGAAACGAUAUUGGAAGCUUGCUUCCGAUAGGCGUCGACCGGCGCACGGGUGAGUAACGCGUAUCCAACCUGCCCAUCACUUGGGGAUAACCUUGCGAAAGUAAGACUAAUACCCAAUGAUAUCCAUAGGAGACCUCUGAAAGGGAUAAAAGAUUUAUCGGUGAUGGAUGGGGAUGCGUCUGGUUAGCUUGUUGGCGGGGUAACGGCCCACCAAGGCGACGAUCAGUAGGGGUUCUGAGAGGAGGGUCCCCCACAUUGGAACUGAGACACGGUCCAAACUCCUACGGGAGGCAGCAGUGAGGAAUAUUGGUCAAUGGACGAGAGUCUGAACCAGCCAAGUAGCGUGCAGGAUGACGGCCCUAUGGGUUGUAAACUGCUUUUAUAAGGGAAUAAAGUGAGCCUCGUGAGGCUUUUUGCAUGUACCUUAUGAAUAAGGACCGGCUAAUUCCGUGCCAGCAGCCGCCGUAA